ensembl:lncRNA
GAAACGCUUCCGACUUAAAAAGCACAUCACAGCUUUGAGGAAAGUGUCAAUAGUUCGACCUGUAAGAAAGACCAGGAAAUAGAACGAUCAUGCAUCACAUGGUGUUUUCUUCCAUUUACGUUUCUCUCCUUGUUUCAACUUGUUUCCUUUUUUCUGAACUCUUUAUGCGGAGCCUCAAGAUAGGAUCUUUAAACAUCAAUGGAGGGAGAGACAGACAGAAAAGGGCUCUAAUUUCUGAACUCUCGACACUAAAACAUACAGAUGUGUUGUUCCUACAGGAAACACAUACUACUCCAGCAGACGAGACAGACUGGGGUCUUUGGUGGGAAGGUCCCAGGGUCCUUAGCCAUGGCACCAACUUCAGUGCAGGAGUAGCUGUGCUGUUCAAAGCAUCUGCAGGGUUAACUCUCGUAUCUUUUACUGAAGUGGUGAAGGGCCGUCUGCUUAUUGUUAGAGCAGAAGUAGAAGGGUCAGUUUUUUGUUUCGUUAAUAUUUACGCUCCAAAUCAGGGAACAGAGAGAGUUGGGUUUUUUACAACCCUAAGAAAUGAGCUGAGGAAUUACCAGCAGGAUCAGCUCAUCAUCGGUGGAGAUUUUAACUGCACCACGGAUUUCACCAUUGACAGGACAAGUGAGGAACCCCACCCACAGUCAGCUCAGAGCCUCAACAGCCUCAUCACAGAUAUAGAUCUGUUAGAUGCAUGGAGAGUGAAGCAUCCACAAUCUAGGCAGUACACAUGGGUGAGGGUCAGCAAUAACAGGGUGAGUGCAGCAAGACUUGACAGGAUUUACAUCUCUCAAAGCCUCAGCUCAAGACUAGCACACAGUAAUAUCAGUCCAGUAGGGUUCACUGACCAUCAUUUCAUUAGUGUAGAGUUGGUCAUCUCACCAGGCAACAGGGUCAAAUCCCACUGGUUUUUCAACAACAAGCUCCUGCAGGACAGUCAUUUCUGUCAGAGCUUUGAAUGCUUUUGGCAGAAGUGGAGGGCUGAGAAAACAAACUUUAGUUCUCUGAAGAUGUGGUGGGAGGUGGGUAAAGCACAGAUUCGUGGUUUUUGCCAGCAGUACACCUCCCAUUCGACUGCUAGAAUCAAGGUAGUUGUCCAGGAGCUGGAAACCACCAUUAAAAACAUUGAAGAGGGGUUGCACAAUAAUCCAGACCCCUCAACAGGUCAACUGUUGAAGGAGAAGAGGUUGGCGUUGAGCUCCUUUCUGCAGGAGAGAGUGAAGGGAGCUCUAGUUAGGUCUCGCUUCCUUCAGCUCAAGGACAUGGACGCCCCCACCUCCUUCUUUUUAAUCUAGAAAGGUCAGCGGCUCAGAGGAAGCAGAUGACCUGCCUUCAACUUCCAGGAGGCAGAGUGACCACCAGUCCAGGAGAGAUGAGGAGCCAUGCGGUGGGUUUCUAUGCCAAUCUCUUUGGGGCGGAGGAGUGCAGC